GACGAACGCUGGCGGCGUGCCUAAUACAUGCAAGUUGAGCGCUGAAGGUUGGUACUUGUACCAACUGGAUGAGCAGCGCACGGGUGAGUAACGCGUGGGGAAUCUGCCUUUGAGCGGGGGACAACAUUUGGAAACGAAUGCUAAUACCGCAUAAAAACUUUAAACACAAGUUUUAAGUUUGAAAGAUGCAAUUGCAUCACUCAAAGAUGAUCCCGCGUUGUAUUAGCUAGUUGGUGAGGUAAAGGCUCACCAAGGCGAUGAUACAUAGCCGACCUGAGAGGGUGAUCGGCCACAUUGGGACUGAGACACGGCCCAAACUCCUACGGGAGGCAGCAGUAGGGAAUCUUCGGCAAUGGACGCAAGUCUGACCGAGCAACGCCGCGGGAGUGAAGAAGGUUUUCGGAUCGUAAAACUCUGUUGGUAGAGAAGAACGUUGGUGAGAGUGGAAAGCUCAUCAAGUGACGUUAACUACCCAGAAAGGGACGGCUAACUACGUG
rnacentral:rRNA from 1 species